rnacentral:lncRNA from 1 species
GUGUACUAGCUAAAGCAUUACGUAUGUCUGGUGGGGAUCAUAUUCACGCUGGUACAGUAGUAGGUAAACUGGAAGGUGAACGUGAGAUGACUUUAGGUUUUGUUGAUUUAUUACGUGAUGAUUAUAUUGAAAAAGACCGAAGUCGUGGUAUUUUCUUCACUCAAGAUUGGGUCUCUAUGCCAGGUGUUAUACCUGUGGCUUCAGGGGGUAUUCAUGUUUGGCAUAUGCCUGCCCUGACCGAGAUCUUUGGAGAUGAUUCCGUACUACAGUUUGGUGGCGGAACUUUAGGACACCCUUGGGGAAAUGCACCUGGUGCAGUAGCUAACCGUGUAGCUUUAGAAGCGUGUGUACAAGCUCGUAAUGAGGGACGUGAUCUUGCUCGUGAAGGUAAUGAAAUUAUCCGUGAAGCUUGCAAAUGGAGUCCUGAACUAGCCGCUGCUUGUGAAGUUUGGAAAGCGAUCAAAUUUGAGUUCGAACCAGUAGAUAAGCUAGAUGUUAAAGGCUAAGCUUACAUAAUUCAGUAAUUCCUGUUUGUUCUCCUAAUUGCAAUUAAACUCGGCCCAAUCUUUUACUAAAAAGGAUUGAGCCGAAAAAAAUGAGGAUCCUUAUGUAUUUUGUAUUUGCAUAUAUCUUUUUUGUGCAUAUAUCUUUCUUUUAUGUAUUAAUAUAUACAGAAUGUACAGGGACAAGGACCUUACUUACAAUCCAUAUAUACACGAUAUAAAUACAAGAUAAGAUCUAAGUUAAGGUUAAACAACAAAAUACUUCUUUUUGUUAUGUUGGAUACAUAAUAAAUCCUAUGGAUCCUUGGGAUUGGUGGAUUAGUUAAUAUACCAGAGUUGCAGACCAUAGCUCAAGCUAGGGCAGGGUGCCUUCUACUGAUCCUGUAUAUUGUCUUUUUCGUUCCGUGUUCCCAUGGAAUGGUACACGAGAAUGAAUUCAGGAAAUGAGUAUUUAUACUUUUAAUGAGAAUUUGUACACAAUAUGAGAAGAAACCCUUCUUUUUUGCUAUUAUAAUUGAGGAAAAGAUUCCAUUAUUUAAAUCAUAAACCUAAAUCAUAUAAAUCAUAAUCUAUAUUGAUAUUGAAAUUAUACCCCGGAUUCCACAACACAAAAGAAAAUUAGUUCUUUCAAUUAAAUACUUAUUCAUAUUAGUUAACGGUCCAAACAAAACGGCUGAAUCCAUAUGCUUAAUUCCGAUACGAAAUCCGAAAUCCAAUAGUAAAAUAAUUAUUUAUCGAAUGACUAUUCAUCUAUUAUAUUUUCAAAUAAGGGGCGGGAAGACUCUAUGGAAAAAUGGUGGUUCAAUUCGAUGUUCUCUAAUGAGAAGUUAGAACACAAGUAUAGGUUAAGUAGAUCGAUGGAUAGUCUUGGUCCUAUUAGAUAUACCAGUGGAAGUGAAGACCCGGUUUUAAAUGCUAUGGAUAAGAACGUUUCCAGUUGGAAUGAAAGUGGGAGUUGUAAUUUCAGUAAUGUUGAGCAUUUUUUUGAUAUCAUAGACAUUUGGAGUUUCAUUUCUGACGACACUUUUUUAGUUAGGGAUAGUAAUGGGGACAAUUUUUCUAUAUAUUUUGAUAUUGAAAAUCAGAUUUUUGAGAUUGACAAUAAUAGUACUUUUAUGAAUGAACUAGAAAGUUCUUUUUCUAGUUACCAGAAUUCUAGUUAUAUGAAUAGUGGAUCUAAAAGUAGUAGUCGCUACUAUUAUCCUUACAUGUAUGAUACUCAAUCUAGUUGGAAUAAUCAUAUAAAUAGUUGCAUUGAUAGUUAUCUGCGUUUUGAAAUCAGUAUUGAUAGUUACAUUUCAGGUGAGACCCAUAAUUAUAGUGAUAAUUAUGUUUAUAAUUUCAUUUGUAAUGAAAGUAUAAGUGGUAGUGAAAGUAGUAAUUCUGGUAUCAGAACUAGUGUUAAUGGCAGUGAUUUCAAUAUAAGAGGAAGAUCUAAUGAUUUAGAUAUAAAUAAAAAAUACAGACAUUUAUGGGUUCAGUGCGAAAAUUGUUAUGGAUUAAAUUAUAAAAAAUUUUUUAGGUCAAGACUGAAUAUUUGUGAACACUGUGGAUAUCAUUUGAAAAUGAGUAGUUCAGAGAGAAUCGAACUUUUAAUUGAUCCGGGCACCUGGGAUCCUCUGGAUGAGAAUAUGGUCUCGACAGACCCCAUUN